AUUGCACGCUGGCGGCAGGCCUAACACAUGCAAGUCGAGCGAGCGGCGGACGGGUGAGUAAUGUAUGUGGACUGCCCGCUUGAGGGGGAUAACUACUGGAAACGGUAGCUAAUACCGCAUACUAUCGGAUAACCCAUAUGGGAUUCGCUAGUAGGUGAGGUAAUGGCUAACCUAGGCGCCGAUCCCUAGCUGGUCUGAGAGGAUGAUCAGCCACACUGGGACUGAGACACGGCCCAGACGCCUACGGAGGCAGCAGGGGGGAAGAUUGCACAAGGGGCGAAAGCCGGAUGCAGCCAUGCCGCGUGUAUGAAGAAGGCCCUAGGGUUGUAAAGUACUGUAAGUCGGGAGGCGUUACCGACAGAAGAAGCACCGGCUAACUCCGUGCCAGCCGCCGCGGUAAUAC
rnacentral:rRNA from 1 species